CGUGGGUAACCUGCCCAAGAGAUCGGGAUAACACCUGGAAACAGAUGCUAAUACCGGAUAACAACCGAUGAUGCCUAUCAACUGUUUAAAAGAUGGUUCUGCUAUCACUCUUGGAUGGACCUGCGGUGCAUUAGCUAGUUGGUAGGGUAACGGCCUACCAAGGCGAUGAUGCAUAGCCGAGUUGAGAGACUGAUCGGCCACAUUGGGACUGAGACACGGCCCAAACUCCUACGGGAGGCAGCAGGC
rnacentral:rRNA from 1 species